GUGCUCGCUUUGGCAGCACAUAUACUAAAAUUAAAA
rnacentral:snRNA from 1 species